CCUACGGGUGGCAGCAGUGAGGAAUAUUGGUCAAUGGACGAGAGUCUGAACCAGCCAAGUAGCGUGAAGGAUGACUGCCCUAUGGGUUGUAAACUUCUUUUAUAAAGGAAUAAAACGAGGCACGUGUGCCUUUUUGCAUGUACUUUAUGAAUAAGGAUCGGCUAACUCCGUGCCAGCAGCCGCGGUAAUACGGAGGAUCCGAGCGUUAUCCGGAUUUAUUGGGUUUAAAGGGAGCGUAGAUGGGUUGUUAAGUCAGUUGUGAAAGGUUGCGGCUCAACCGUAAAAUUGCAAUUGAUACUGGCAGUCUUGAGUACAGUUGAGGUAAGCGGAAUGCGUGGUGUAGCGGUGAAAUGCUUAGAUAUCACGAAGAACCCCGAUUGCGAAGGCAGCUUACUAAACUGUGACUGACAUUGAUGCUCGAAAGUGUGGGUAUCAAACAGGAUUAGAUACCCGUGUAGUC
rnacentral:rRNA from 1 species